rnacentral:rRNA from 1 species
AUGAACGCUAGCUACAGGCUUAACACAUGCAAGUCGAGGGGCAGCAUUUCAGUUUGCUUGCAAACUGGAGAUGGCGACCGGCGCACGGGUGAGUAACACGUAUCCAACCUGCCGAUAACUCGGGGAUAGCCUUUCGAAAGAAAGAUUAAUACCCGAUGGUAUAAUCAGACCGCAUGGUCUUGUUAUUAAAGAAUUUCGGUUAUCGAUGGGGGUGCGUUCCAUUAGGCAGUUGGUGAGGUAACGGCUCACCAAACCUUCGAUGGAUAGGGGUUCUGAGAGGAAGGUCCCCCACAUUGGAACUGAGACACGGUCCAAACUCCUACGGGAGGCAGCAGUGAGGAAUAUUGGUCAAUGGGCGCAGGCCUGAACCAGCCAAGUAGCGUGAAGGAUGACUGCCCUAUGGGUUGUAAACUUCUUUUAUAUGGGAAUAAAGUUUUCCACGUGUGGAAUUUUGUAUGUACCAUAUGAAUAAGGAUCGGCUAACUCCGUGCCAGCAGCCGCGGUAAUACGGAGGAUCCGAGCGUUAUCCGGAUUUAUUGGGUUUAAAGGGAGCGUAGGUGGACAGUUAAGUCAGUUGUGAAAGUUUGCGGCUCAACCGUAAAAUUGCAGUUGAUACUGGCUGUCUUGAGUACAGUAGAGGUGGGCGGAAUUCGUGGUGUAGCGGUGAAAUGCUUAGAUAUCACGAAGAACUCCGAUUGCGAAGGCAGCUCACUGGACUGCAACUGACACUGAUGCUCGAAAGUGUGGGUAUCAAACAGGAUUAGAUACCCUGGUAGUCCACACAGUAAACGAUGAAUACUCGCUGUUUGCGAUAUACAGUAAGCGGCCAAGCGAAAGCAUUAAGUAUUCCACCUGGGGAGUACGCCGGCAACGGUGAAACUCAAAGGAAUUGACGGGGGCCCGCACAAGCGGAGGAACAUGUGGUUUAAUUCGAUGAUACGCGAGGAACCUUACCCGGGCUUAAAUUGCAUUUGAAUAUAUUGGAAACAGUAUAGCCGUAAGGCAAAUGUGAAGGUGCUGCAUGGUUGUCGUCAGCUCGUGCCGUGAGGUGUCGGCUUAAGUGCCAUAACGAGCGCAACCCUUAUCUUUAGUUACUAACAGGUCAUGCUGAGGACUCUAGAGAGACUGCCGUCGUAAGAUGUGAGGAAGGUGGGGAUGACGUCAAAUCAGCACGGCCCUUACGUCCGGGGCUACACACGUGUUACAAUGGGGGGUACAGAAGGCAGCUACCUGGUGACAGGAUGCUAAUCCCAAAAGCCUCUCUCAGUUCGGAUCGAAGUCUGCAACCCGACUUCGUGAAGCUGGAUUCGCUAGUAAUCGCGCAUCAGCCAUGGCGCGGUGAAUACGUUCCCGGGCCUUGUACACACCGCCCGUCAAGCCAUGAAAGCCGGGGGUACCUGAAGUACGUAACCGCAAGGAGCGUCCUAGGGUAAAACUGGUAAUUGGGGCU